GAUGAACGCUAGCUACAUGCUUAACACAUGCAAGUCGAGGGACCGGCGCACGGGUGAGUAACGCGUAUCCAACCUUCCCAUUACUGUAGGAUAACCUGCCGGAAGUCAGCCUAAUACCGUAUGGUAAUGGAUGGUGAUGAGUGUGAUUAGCUUGUUGGAGGGGUAACGUCCCACACAGGCGACGAUACGUAGGGGUUCUGAGAGGAAGGUCCCGCACAUGGACAAUGAGACACGGUCCAAACUCCUACGGGAGGCAGCAGUGAGGACUAUUGGUCAAUGUGCGGGAUCCUGAACCAGCCAAGUAGCGUGCAGGAUGACGGCCUAUGGGUUGUAAACUGCUUUUGUAUGGUGAUAGGUACCAUACGAAUAAGGACCGGCUAAUUCCGUGCCAGCAGCCGCGGUAAUUC
rnacentral:rRNA from 1 species